rnacentral:rRNA from 1 species
GAUGAACGCUGGCGGCGUGCCUAAUACAUGCAAGUCGAGCGAACAGACGAGGAGCUUGCUCCUCUGACGUUAGCGGCGGACGGGUGAGUAACACGUGGAUAACCUACCUAUAAGACUGGGAUAACUUCGGGAAACCGGAGCUAAUACCGGAUAAUAUAUUCAACCGCAUGGUUCAAUAGUGAAAGGCGGUUUUGCUGUCACUUAUAGAUGGAUCCGCGCCGCAUUAGCUAGUUGGUAAGGUAACGGCUUACCAAGGCAACGAUGCGUAGCCGACCUGAGAGGGUAAUCGGCCACACUGGAACUGAGACACGGUCCAGACUCCUACGGGAGGCAGCAGUAGGGAAUCUUCCGCAAUGGGCGAAAGCCUGACGGAGCAACGCCGCGUGAGUGAUGAAGGUCUUCGGAUCGUAAAACUCUGUUAUUAGGGAAGAACAAAUGUGUAAGUAACUAUGCACGUCUUGACGGUACCUAAUCAGAAAGCCACGGCUAACUACGUG